AAGACCUUACUUCAUAGGAUCAUUUCUAUAGUAAGCUCUUCCCGAGAACUUCACACUAUGUGAAUCAACUCGUAACCACGAUGAGCGUGAGGCAGGCGAUGGUAGAUCUACCAUCAGCCCUCGAUGAUCGUUCGCUCCCCUUCACGGGGAGAGUGGGGUGUUGUCGCUGUCUGAGUGGU